rnacentral:rRNA from 1 species
GACGAACGCUGGCGGCGUGCUUAACACAUGCAAGUCGAACGAAGUGGCGAACGGGUGAGUAACGCGUAAUCAACCUGCCCUUCAGCGGGGGACAACAGUUGGAAACGACUGCUAAUACCGCAUACUGAAGGAGGGGAUUGCGUCUGAUUAGCUAGUUGGAGGGGUAACGGCCCACCAAGGCGAUGAUCAGUAGCCGGGCUGGGAGGAGGAACGGCCACAUUGGGACUGAGAGACGGCCCAGACUCCGACGGGAGGCAGCAGUAGGGAAUCUUCGGCAAUGGACGAAAGUGUGACCGAGCAACGCCGCGGGAGUGAAGAAGGUUUUCGGAUCGUAAAACUCGGUUGUUAGAGAAGCGGUAUCUAACCAGAAAGCCACGGCUAACUACGUGCCAGCAGCCGCGGUAAUUC